rnacentral:rRNA from 1 species
GGAGGGCAAGUCUGGUGCCAGCAGCCGCGGUAAUUCCAGCUCCAAUAGCGUAUAUUAAAGUUGUUGCAGUUAAAAAGCUCGUAGUUGAAUUUCGGGGUCAGCAAGUUGGUCGUGCCACUGGUAUGCACUGGCCUUGCUGAUUCCUCCUUCUUGUAGAACCGUAGAUGCGCAUUCAUUUGGUGUUGCGGGGAAACAGGACUGUUACUUUGAAAAAAUUA